rnacentral:misc_RNA from 1 species
GAAAUGCGAUAAGUAAUGUGAAUUGCAGAAUUCAGUGAAUCAUCGAAUCUUUGAACGCACCUUGCGCUCCUUGGUAUUCCUUGGAGCAUUCCUGUUUGAGUAUCAUGAAAUCUUCAAAGUAAAUCUUUUGUUAACUCAAUUGGUUUCUACUUUGGUAUUGGAGGUCUUUGCAGCUUCACACCUGCUCCUCUUUGUUCAUUAGCUGGAUCUCAGUGUUAUGCUUGGUUCCACUCGGCGUGAUAAGUUAUCUAUCGCUGAGGACACUGUAAAAGGUGGCCAAGGUAAAUGCAGAUGAACCGCUUCUAAUAGUCCAUUGACUUGGACAAUACUUUUAUGAUCUGAUCUCAAAUCAGGUAGGACUACCCGCUGAACUUAAGC